rnacentral:rRNA from 1 species
CACUCCGCCUGGGGAGUACGNCCGCAAGGUUGAAACUCAAAGGAAUUGACGGGGGCCCGCACAAGCGGUGGAGCAUGUGGUUUAAUUNGAAGCAACGCGAAGAACCUUACCAGGUCUUGACAUCCCUCUGACCGCUCUAGAGAUAGANUNNUCCUUCGGGACAGAGGUGACAGGUGGUGCANGGNUGUCGUCAGCUCGUGUCGUGAGAUGUUGGGUUAAGUCCNNNNNNGNGNGCAACCCCUAUUGUUAGUUGCCAUCAUUUAGUUGGGCACUCUAGCGAGACUGCCGGUAAUAAACCGGAGGAAGGUGGGGAUGACGUCAAAUCAUCAUGCCCCUUAUGACCUGGGCUACACACGUGCUACAAUGGCCGGUACAACGAGUCGCAAGCCGGUGACGGCAAGCUAAUCUCUUAAGGCCAGUCUCAGUUCGGAUUGUAGGCUGCAACUCGCCUACAUGAAGUCGG